AACGAACGCUGGCGGCAGGCCUAACACAUGCAAGUCGAGCGGGGGAGCAAUCCCUAGCGGCGGACGGGUGAGUAACGCGUGGGAACGUACCCUUUGCUUCGGAAUAGCCCCUGGAAACGGGGAGUAAUACCGAAUGUGCUCUACGGAGGAAAGAUUUAUCGGCAAAGGAUCGGCCCGCGUUGGAUUAGGUAGUUGGUGGGGUAAUGGCCUACCAAGCCGACGAUCCAUAGCUGGUUUGAGAGGAUGAUCAGCCACACUGGGACUGAGACACGGCCCAGACUCCUACGGGAGGCAGCAGUGGGGAAUCUUAGACAAUGGGCGCAAGCUUGAUCUAGCCAUGCCGCGUGAGCGAUGAAGGCCUUAGGGUUGUAAAGCUCUUUCGUGGGGGAAGAUAAUGACUGUACCCCAAGAAGAAGCCCCGGCUAACUCCGUGCCAGCAGCCGCCGUAAGAC
rnacentral:rRNA from 1 species